CUAGACUUAGACUGUUGGACGGAGACUUUUAUUUUUACAUAGUGUUAGGCCCAGGCCUGCUGGGCCCUCUUUCUCCCACCCCCCACCCCCACUAGUUUCUCGGAUACACCAGAAACUCCCAACCCCAUCCCUGGAGUCACCGGAGAGCUAUCUUGGGGUGCUGACGCAGCCGCUUUCUCUGAAGAGACGGGACAUCUGUGCAAAGCGAAGGAGAAAGACUGAGAGCCCAUGCAACUUUCCAAAGGACGCCGCCUGGGAAGGUUUGCUCGUAAGGAGGAAGAGAGGGCAAAGAUGCCUUUCAAUCGCGGACAAUCACAGCCCGGAAUGACAGCCACCUACCUCGCCAAAGUGAAAGUGUGUUUUGUGGACAAUCCCUAAUCUUAGCUAGGUAAUUGCAAGCAGUCACGGAAAAAGAAAAGGAUAUUGUAUCGUCAAACUUGAUUUUCCCCUUACUUCCGUAUCAUUCAUUCCCCCCACCCACCAAAAAAACGGUUGAGAAGGACGUUUCCUGCAUCCAGUGAUGAAGGUGUCAACGCAGAAGGUGCCCUCAGGCAGCCUUUUCAAGGGCGGAGGGCUACCGCGAUCAUAAGUGCCUUCAAGGGAGUAUUAAAGCAAUGGAACUGUGUUUCCCAAUUUGGGUUUGUUUGUUUUUAAUAGUCUCUGAACUUGAAGACUGAUCACCCCUACCGAAAAGAAUCCAAACUGUGACAGUAUUCCCCUACAGUUCUCCUUACAGGAUUUUUAAAAUAUAUAUUAUGAAAAAUAUUGUUUCUGAGACACAAACAAAAGAAGGAGCUAGAAGCCAAUCUUUGUGAGCAUCAAGCUGCCUACCAGAUUUUUUGAGCUGGGCAUAACAUGCCCUGUUGAAGCAAGAGGGAAAGUAUGUUUCCGGAAAAGCCUGCUUGGUGGCAGGGGGUGGGUGAGUGAGGCAGCAUUAAGGCAAUCCCACCGGCAGAAGUUGGGGUGGGUGUGCAGGCCCUGUAAUGCCCAGCGAUCAUUCUGGGCAUGCUGAUUAGGGGAGGUGGACCAUUUCUCCUGGCCAGAUUCAUGGAGGCUAAAGCCGAAAAUCAGAGUGGCCCCUUGCUUUUCAGGGAGUGCUUGUGUAUGGAAGAAGACCAAGGAUCGAGAUCAGAAUUACUCCAAGGAUCUGCUUCAUAGCAUGAGCAUGCCCUCUCCACGCUCGGUUUCGUUUGCUUGCUCUGAGUACAUGGGGGCUCUUUGCUUUCGCUUCUCCCGCUAUGUCCAGCCGCAGUCGGAACUUGAGUCGGCCUCCUUCAGAUUCUCUUACUUUCCUUGUGUUCUUUAGCGACACUAUCUGAAAAUUAAAGUGGCGUUUGGUCCCCCACCAAA